GGGCCCGCACAAGCGGUGGAGCAUGUGGUUUAAUUCGAUGCAACGCGAAGAACCUUACCUACUCUUGACAUCCAGAGAACUUAGCAGAGAUGCUUUGGUGCCUUCGGGAACUCUGAGACAGGUGCUGCAUGGCUGUCGUCAGCUCGUGUUGUGAAAUGUUGGGUUAAGUCCCGCAACGAGCGCAACCCUUAUCCUUGUUUGCCAGCACUUCGGGUGGGAACUCCAGGGAGACUGCCGGUGAUAAACCGGAGGAAGGUGGGGACGACGUCAAGUCAUCAUGGCCCUUACGAGUAGGGCUACACACGUGCUACAAUGGCGUAUACAGAGGGCUGCCAACUUGCGAGAGUGAGCGAAUCCCAGAAAGUACGUCGUAGUCCGGAUUGGAGUCUGCAACUCGACUCCAUGAAGUCGGAAUCGCUAGUAAUCGUGAAU
rnacentral:rRNA from 1 species